rnacentral:rRNA from 1 species
GAUGAACGCUGGCGGCGUGCCUAAUACAUGCAAGUCGAGCGAACAGACGAGGAGCUUGCUCCUCUGACGUUAGCGGCGGACGGGUGAGUAACACGUGGAUAACCUACCUAUAAGACUGGGAUAACUUCGGGAAACCGGAGCUAAUACCGGAUAAUAUAUUGAACCGCAUGGUUCAAUAGUGAAAGACGGUUUUGCUGUCACUUAUAGAUGGAUCCGCGCCGCAUUAGCUAGUUGGUAAGGUAACGGCUUACCAAGGCAACGAUGCGUAGCCGACCUGAGAGGGUGGUCGGCCACACUGGAGCUGAGACGCGGUCCAGACUCCUACGGGAGGCAGCAGUAUGGAAUCUUCCGCAAUGGGCGAAAGCUUUACGGAGCAACGCCGCGUGAGUGAUGAAGGUCUUCGGAUCGUAAAACUCUGUUAUUAGGGAAGAACAAAUGUGUAAGUAACUAUGCACGGCUUGACGGUACCUAAUCAGAAAGCCACGGCUAACUACGUG